rnacentral:rRNA from 1 species
GAUUUCUGGUUUGAUGCGUUUGGCCCUCUCGGAGCAAUCCGGCGUGCGUGCCGAUGCGCGUCUGCCAUCCCUUGUAGAGAACGUUUCUACCCUUCACUGGGCCGGAUUCGCAAUCUACAUCUUUUACUUUGAAAAAAUUAGAGUGUUUAAAGCAGGCUUGUGCUAUGAAUACAUUAGCAUGGAAUAAUAAUUUAGGACUUUGGUUCUAUUUUGUUGGUUUCUAGGACUGAAGUAAUGAUUGAUAGGGAUAGUUGGGGGUGCUCGUAUUUAACGGUCAGCGGUGAAAUGCAUGGACCCGUUAAAGACGAACCUAUGCGAAAGCAUU